rnacentral:rRNA from 1 species
GACGAACGCUGGCGGCGUGCCUAAUACAUGCAAGUAGAACGCUGAAGAGAGGAGCUUGCUCUUCUUGGAUGAGUUGCGAACGGGUGAGUAACGCGUAGGUAACCUGCCUUGUAGCGGGGGAUAACUAUUGGAAACGAUAGCUAAUACCGCAUAACAAUGGAUGACACAUGUCAUUUAUUUGAAAGGGGCAAUUGCUCCACUACAAGAUGGACCUGCGUUGUAUUGGCUAGUAGGUGAGGUAAUGGCUCACCUAGGCGACGAUACAUAGCCGACCUGAGAGGGUGAUCGGCCACACUGGGACUGAGACACGGCCCAGACUCCUACGGGAGGCAGCAGUAGGGAAUCUUCGGCAAUGGGGGCAACCCUGACCGAGCAACGCCGCGUGAGUGAAGAAGGUUUUCGGAUCGUAAAGCUCUGUUGUAAGUCAAGAACGGGUGUGAGAGUGGAAAGUUCACACUGUGACGGUAGCUUACCAGAAAGGGACGGCUAACUACGUG